rnacentral:rRNA from 1 species
CGGACGGGUGAGUAACGCGUGGAAAACCUGCCGUAUACUGGGGGAUAACACUUAGAAAUAGGUGCUAAUACCGCAUAAGCGCACAGCUUCGCAUGAAGCGGUGUGAAAAACUCUGGUGGUAUACGAUGGUUCCGCGUCUGAUUAGCUAGUUGGUGGGGUAAUGGCCUACCAAGGCAACGAUCAGUAGCCGGCCUGAUAGGGUGAACGGCCACAUUGGGACUGAGACACGGCCCAAACUCCUACGGGAGGCAGCAG